ensembl:lncRNA
CCCAAAUGUAAGCGUACCACACUGUCUAAAAGACUUGAGCCUUUUACUGCAUCUACAGUGUGUUUGGGAUCCCUGUCAUGCUGAAAAACAAAGUGGUUAGCCAAUUAGACCCUCUCCAAUUGGUUGUGCAUGGCGGAUGAUAAUCUGAACCCUCUUUUCUGUGUUCCAUCAAUUUUAACAUGGUCCCCUGCACCACAGGCUGAAACUGAGACCCCACUGUGUUUUACAGAUAGCUGUAAACACUCACUGUUGUACCUCUGUCAUUAUGUUUUCUACAUACUGACAAAUGAUGAACCAAAAAUUCCAAAUUUGGAUUCCUCACUCCGUGAGACCGUUGGAUGCUGAUUUUUAGUCUAGUUUGUUUUUGUUUAAUUUGGCACACCUCAGCCCUUUCUCCCUGUUUCUUUUCCUUAAGAGUACAUUUUUUGACAGCCACCCUUCCACUCGGAUCACAUCUGAUGAAGUUUCAGAGAACAGUAGAUGAAUCUUAGUGACAUUACUUCUUUUAGACCUGCCACUACUUCUUUUGUCUUCCACUUGUCUAGAGUCCUCAAAUCACAACAAACUUCCAUGUACGUAUGAGAAACAGUUGGUUGUAGUGAAUGAUGGUGAUCCUUGGUGGUGCUUGUUUCAUACCUGAAAUCAAAAUGGUAGUUGGUGUUGAGGUUUAAGUUUUUUUUUUGUUUUUUUUUUUUUUAAUGUUUCGUAUACAUAUAUUUUAGUACGAUUAAAAAUAAAAAAUGGAAGCCUAACUCGUCUUUCAACCUCAUCUAUUGAAAACAUUACAAUUUUCAUAAAAUUUACUUUAUUUUGGACUACAGCUCCAUAGGACCCAAUUCAUUCUGAUGAGUGCCUCUGAAACUGGGGAUUCAGAGAUGAGUUCUUCAGUAUUUAGAAGUUCUUUGAAGAUAUUUUGAUUUUGCCCAUUUUAUAUGUGCAGUAUACUGUAUGGUGGUAAAAUCUACGUACUUUGCUAACCAACUUUGUUGGCUUUGACACAGCUCAUUUACAUGUUCUUAAAUACUGAUUAAAAUAUUGAAGCUUGACUGUCCUUGCAUCUAGUAUUCUUGUUGUGGAAAUGUAAAAUGUAAAUUAGUUAAUAAAUAACAUCUUAGAUCAUGAUUGAAAUGAUAUGCUGUGCGAUGUAUUACAUGAGUAAUGAUUUAAUGACUCUAUAAAGACAUGCAGAACUUCUUGAUGCUCACAACUUGUAAUCGACCAGUCAUUAGCCCAGGAGCAUGCCCUGGGUAAUCCAUGUUUCUUACUCUAAUAAUGACCAUAAUUUAUAAUGUGAACUGCUUUUUUUUUUUUUUUUUUUUUUUUUAUUCAAUAGAAUAUGAAACUAGCCUCUAAAGUUCUGAAGGAAGUGUUUACUGAGGUCACAGAGAAAGGAAGCCAAGGGUUAUUUACCCACAGUGUUCACCCAGGUCUUUCUGCACAAAUAGUCCUCCAUGUUAAAACACUAUAUCACCAAGAUUUACAAAAUAGACUUGAUUUUUUUAUUCAAAAUGAUUCAAGUGAGGGACUGAACUGAUAAACCCAGCAUGAAAGUGUUUACAGAGGUUAAGACAGAGCCACUUCCCACUAGACUUCAACAGAACCAGAAGUUUUUCUUACAACCACAUCUAUUGCCAUCUGGUGGCCGUCAGAUAGAAUACAGGUUUAAGGGACUUCUGCAUUGGCUUCCCCAAUCUUCAGUUAACGUUAUUCCAGGUAGUAAAGUUGUAAAAGUUGUUUAACUAUAUACAAUGCAAUACUCGUAUACAAUACACACAUAAAACAAUUCAAGUUCACAAACCAAAAAAACAAACAAACAAUGUAGAGCCAUUCAAGCAUCACUAGCAAAACAAACCAAUACAUUUUUUGUACUUAAAAACACAGCUGCAGC